AUUGAACGCUGGCGGCAGGCCUAACACAUGCAAGUCGAGCGGAUGAAGGGAGCUUGCUCCUGGAUUCAGCGGCGGACGGGUGAGUAAUGCCUAGGAAUCUGCCUGGUAGUGGGGGAUAACGUCCGGAAACGGGCGCUAAUACCGCAUACGUCCUGAGGGAGAAAGUGGGGGAUCGUCGGACCUCACGCUAUCAGAUGAGCCUAGGUCGGAUUAGCUAGUUGGUGGGGUAAAGGCCUACCAAGGCGACGAUCCGUAACUGGUCUGAGAGGAUGAUCAGUCACACUGGAACUGGGACACGGUCCAGACUCCUACGGGAGGCAGCAGUGGGGAAUAUUGGACAGUGGGCGAAAGCCUGAUCCAGCCGUGCCGCGUGUGUGAAGAAGGUCUUCGGAUUGUAAAGCCCUUUAAGUUGGGAGGAAGGGCAGUAAGUUAAUACCUUGCUGUUUUGACGUUACCAACAGAAUAAGCACCGGCUAACUUCGUG
rnacentral:rRNA from 1 species